CGAUACGACCGUACCGCAAACCGACACUGGUGCGCGAGAUGAGUAUUCUAAGGCGCUUGAGAGAACUCAGGAGAAGGAACUCGGCAAAUUGACACCGUAACUUCGGAAGAAGGUGUGCCCUAUUAGUGUGUAGUGAACAACGAAGCAUGAAUGGGUUGCAAAAAAUCGGUGGCUGCGACUGUUUAUUAAAAACACAGCACUCUGCAAACACGAAAGUGGACGUAUAGGGUGUGACGCCUGCCCGGUGCUGGAAGAUUAAAUGAUGGGGUGCAAGCUCUUGAUUGAAGUCCCAGUAAACGGCGGCCGUAACUAUAACGGUCCUAAGGUAGCGAAAUUCCUUGUCGGGUAAGUUCCGACCUGCACGAAUGGCGUAACGAUGGCCACACUGUCUCCUCCUGAGACUCAGCGAAGUUGAAAUGUUUGUGAUGAUGCAAUCUCCCCGCGGAAAGACGGAAAGACCCCAUGAACCUUUACUGUAGCUUUGUAUUGGACUUUGAACAGAUCUGUGUAGGAUAGGUGGGAGGCUUUGAAGCAGGGUCGCUAGAUCUUGUGGAGCCAACGUUGAAAUACCACCCUGGUGUGUUUGAGGUUCUAACCUAGGUCCAUUAUCUGGAUCGGGGACAGUGCAUGGUAGGCAGUUUGACUGGGGCGGUCUCCUCCCAAAGCGUAACGGAGGAGUUCGAAGGUACGCUAGUUACGGUCGGACAUCGUGACGAUAGUGCAACGGCAUAAGCGUGCUUAACUGCGAGACUGACAAGUCGAGCAGAUGCGAAAGCAGGACAUAGUGAUCCGGUGUUCUGUAUGGAAGGGCCAUCGCUCAACGGAUAAAAGGUACUCUGGGGAUAACAGGCUGAUACCGCCCAAGAGUUCAUAUCGACGGCGGUGUUUGGCACCUCGAUGUCGGCUCAUCUCAUCCUGGGGCUGUAGCCGGUCCCAAGGGUAUGGCUGUUCGCCAUUUAAAGAGGUACGUGAGCUGGGUUUAAAACGUCGUGAGACAGUUUGGUCCCUAUCUUCCGUGGGCGCUGCAGAUUUGAGGAAGCCUGCUCCUAGUACGAGAGGACCGGAGUGGACACACCUCUGGUGUAUCGGUUGUCACGCCAGUGGCAUUGCCGAGUAGCUAAGUGUGGAAGAGAUAACCGCUGAAAGCAUCUAAGCGGGAAACUCGUCUCAAGAUGGGAUCUGCCGGGGCCUUGAGCCCCCUAAAGAGUCGUUCAAGACCAGGACGUUGAUAGGUCAGGUGUGGAAGCG
rnacentral:rRNA from 1 species